rnacentral:rRNA from 1 species
UACAGAGGUCUCAAGCGUUGUUCGGAUUCACUGGGCGCAAAGGGUGCGUAGGUGGCGCUGUAAGUCGGGUGUGAAAUUUCGGAGCUUAACUCCGAAACUGCAUUCGAUACUGCGGUGCUUGAGGACUGGAGAGGAGACUGGAAUUCAUGGUGUAGCAGUGAAAUGCGUAGAGAUCAUGAGGAAGACCAGUGGCGAAGGCGGGUCUCUGGACAGUUCCUGACACUGAGGCACGAAGGCCAGGGGAGCAAACGGG